UACGUAGGGUGCAAGCGUUAAUCGGAAUUACUGGGCGUAAAGCGUGCGCAGGCGGUUCGCUAAGACAGAUGUGAAAUCCCCGGGCUUAACCUGGGAACUGCAUUUGUGACUGGCGGGCUAGAGUAUGGCAGAGGGGGGGUAGAAUUCCACGUGUAGCAGUGAAAUGCGUAGAGAUGUGGAGGAAUACCGAUGGCGAAGGCAGCCCCCUGGGCCAAUACUGACGCUCAUGCCACGAAAGCGUGGGGAGCGAACAGGACUUAGGAAACCC
rnacentral:rRNA from 1 species